UGGCAAAUCUAAAUAAGAAUUUAUUUAUUAAAGCUGCCCUCCUCCUCGAUUCUCAAAAAUUUAAGUAAGGUCUGCAGGCUCCCCUAUAAAUUAGGCCCAGGCGGCUUCAAUGCUGGAAGCUGAGGAGCCGGCGCAGCAGGGCGGUGGACCAGGAGGAGGACCACUAAGGAGGCGGAGCAGGAGGCGUAUUUAUGUAGCUAACGCCACUACUCGAUGUCUACCUCGUUGAUUCUUUUGUGGUGUGAAUAUAUCAAAGUCGGUCUCAGAUAAAACUAAAAGGAUAUGUUAAGGCAAUUCUGAUCAACUUACCAACAAAACUUAUGCUGAUGCGUGUGCAGUGUUGACCAUCAACUAGGCGCUUGACAGUUGGCCAUACUGAGAGGAAGGCUUACAAUUAAUUUGCGCUCAGCUUGAAAUGCUAUUAGAUGCGCAUUAACACCCAUAUAUAUAUGUAUAUACCAACUGCUAAGACUGACUCAUCAAUCAACGUCCUGAUGUCUAAAUAAUGCAACACAAACACAAAAGGCAACGUCUGUCUGUCUGGCCUGCCACAAACGACUACCGCACUAAUUAAUACUGCCGCCCUGGCUGACUGAUUCGUGUUGCAGCCAAACACACACACACACACACACACACACACACACACACACGCAUACAUACAUACAGGCAAUAAGAAGAAGAACAAGAGCACCAUUCUAAGCUAAAUAAAGUUAUUAAGCUGCCAAGGGCCAGAAGGGAAAU